CUUGAAACACGGACCAAGGAGUUUAUCGUGUACGCAAGUCAUUGGGUGUUUAAAACCCAAAGGCGAAAUGAAAGUAAAAAGCAGAAAUUUGUAAAAGAAAUUAAUUUUUUUUUACAAUUUCUCUUAAGGGAAGAUGGAAAUAUUACAUACUUUGUGUGUGUAUAUUAUUUCUCGCACUCCCAGGGCGCUUGUAUCUCGCUUUGCGAAUCGAUGCGCACCUAGAGCGUACACGAUGAUACCCGAAAGAUGGUGAACUAUGCCUGGCCAGGACGAAGCCAGGGGAAACCCUGGUGGAGGUCCGCAGCGAUUCUGACGUGCAAAUCGAUCGUCGGAGCUGGGUAUAGGGGCGAAAGACCAAUCGAACCAUCUAGUAGCUGGUUCCCUCUGAAGUUUCCCUCAGGAUAGCUUGCACUCGGUUGAGAAGAGUCUCAUCCGGUAGAGCGAAUGAUUAGAGGCAUUGGGGUCGAAACGACCUCAACCUAUUCUCAAACUCCAAAUAGAUGAGAUCCCCGGCUUUCUUAAAAAUGAAGCCGUGGGGUUAUGAUCAGAGUGCCAAGUGGGCCAAUUUUGGUAAGCAGAACUGGCGCU
rnacentral:rRNA from 1 species